ensembl:lncRNA
UUUUGUUUUUGUUUGGGUUGGUUUCCGGCCGCUCUGAUCUCUGAUUGGCUGGAGUCGUCUGCGUGUUGUUGCCGGGCAGCUCUCUCCGUCGAACGCAGUAGACAGCGGGGGGGGGCCUUGUGUUCAGACAGAGCAUGCUCAGUGACCGGACACGCCCCCUCCUCCCCCUUGAUGUAGUUGUUGUUGUUGCUGUUGUUGUUGUUGUUGUUGUGACCCGGUUAGGGGGUCGCACCAUGUGUGCGCGCGUGUGUGCGUGUGAUUGUCGCAUGUGUGUAUCGGAAUGUGGAGUCAUGACUAGCGGUGGCAUGGUCUCUUUUGUUUCAGAUCGUCUUUGUCUUCUCUCUGCUGCUCUUCCUCUCUCUCUCCCUCUAUUUGUUUCUCACCCUUUCCUCGUUGAAGUCCCCUGCCAACUGACGGCCCAGCGCCCCUCUGGCCCCUCCUCCUCCCAGUCCGGCUCCGACAGCGCCCCCAGUGCCUGCUGCUGGAGCAGCCCCCGCCCGGCCCCGCCCACCCAGCCGGCCGGCCACGCC